AAAUAUAAGCGAAUAAGGGCUUAAGUUGGAUACCUUGGCAUUCAGAAGCGAUGAAGGGCGUGUCUACCGACGAAACGCUUCGGGGAGCUAGAAGUAAGCUUUGAUCCGGAGGUUCCCGAAUGAGGAAACUCUUUAAACUGCAUAUUUAAUACAUAGGUAUGUAAGAGCGAACCUGGUGAAUUGAAACAUCUCAGUAACCAGAGGAAAAGAAAGCAAAAGCGAUUCCCAUA
rnacentral:rRNA from 1 species